rnacentral:rRNA from 1 species
UUGACGGGGCCCGCACAAGCGGUGGAGUAUGUGGUUUAAUUCGAUGCAACGCGAAGAACCUUACCUGGUCUUGACAUCCCGGAGACCCUUAGGAAACUAGGGGGUGCUUCCAUCUGGAAGAAUCUGGAGACAGGUGCUGCAUGGCUGUCGUCAGCUCGUGUCGUGAGAUGUUGGGUUAAGUCCCGCAACGAGCGCAACCCUUGCCUUUAGUUGCCAGCAGUUCGGCUGGGCACUCUAAAGGGACUGCCGGUGUUAAACCGGAGGAAGGUGGGGAUGACGUCAAGUCCUCAUGGCCUUUAUGACCAGGGCUACACACGUACUACAAUGGCCGAUACAAAGGGCAGCGACACUGCGAGGUGAAGCCAAUCCCGUAAAAUCGGUCUCAGUCCGGAUUGGAGUCUGCAACUCGACUCCAUGAAGUUGGAAUCGCUAGUAACCCCGGAUCAGCAUGCCGGGGUGAAUACGUUCCCGGGCCUU